rnacentral:rRNA from 1 species
UACGGAGGAUCCGAGCGUUAUCCGGAUUUAUUGGGUUUAAAGGGAGCGUAGGUGGAUUGUUAAGUCAGUUGUGAAAGGCUACGGCUCAACCGUAGUAAGCCUUUGAAACUGGGAAACUUGAGUGCAGGAGAGGAGAGUGGAAUUCCUAGUGUAGCGGUGAAAUGCGUAGAUAUUAGGAGGAACACCAGUUGCGAAGGCGGCUCUCUGGACUGUAACUGACACUGAGGCACGAAAGCGUGGGGAGCAAACAGG